rnacentral:rRNA from 1 species
AUGCAAGUCGAGCGGACAGAUGGGAGCUUGCUCCCUGAUGUUAGCGGCGGACGGGUGAGUAACACGUGGGUAACCUGCCUGUAAGACUGGGAUAACUCCGGGAAACCGGGGCUAAUACCGGAUGGUUGUUUGAACCGCAUGGUUCAGACAUAAAAGGUGGCUUCGGCUACCACUUACAGAUGGACCCGCGGCGCAUUAGCUAGUUGGUGAGGUAACGGCUCACCAAGGCGACGAUGCGUAGCCGACCUGAGAGGGUGAUCGGCCACACUGGGACUGAGACACGGCCCAGACUCCUACGGGAGGCAGCAGUAGGGAAUCUUCCGCAAUGGACGAAAGUCUGACGGAGCAACGCCGCGUGAGUGAUGAAGGUUUUUCGGAUCGUAAAGCUCUGUUGUUAGGGAAGAACAAGUGCCGUUCAAAUAGGGCGGCACCUUGACGGUACCUAACCAGAAAGCCACGGCUAACUACGUGCCAGCAGCCGCGGUAAUACGUAGGUGGCAAGCGUUGUCCGGAAUUAUUGGGCGUAAAGGGCUCGCAGGCGGUUUCUUAAGUCUGAUGUGAAAGCCCCCGGCUCAACCGGGGAGGGUCAUUGGAAACUGGGGAACUUGAGUGCAGAAGAGGAGAGUGGAAUUCCACGUGUAGCGGUGAAAUGCGUAGAGAUGUGGAGGAACACCAGUGGCGAAGGCGACUCUCUGGUCUGUAACUGACGCUGAGGAGCGAAAGCGUGGGGAGCGAACAGGAUUAGAUACCCUGGUAGUCCACGCCGUAAACGAUGAGUGCUAAGUGUUAGGGGGUUUCCGCCCCUUAGUGCUGCAGCUAACGCAUUAAGCACUCCGCCUGGGGAGUACGGUCGCAAGACUGAAACUCAAAGGAAUUGACGGGGGCCCGCACAAGCGGUGGAACAUGUGGUUUAAUUCGAAGCAACGCGAAGAAACCUUACCAGGUCUUGACAUCCUCUGACAAUCCCAAAGAUAGGACGUCCCCUUCGGGGGCAAAAUGAAACGUGGUGCAUGGUUGUCCUCACCCCCUGUCCUGAAAAUGUGGGGUUAAGUCCCCCAACGAGCGCAACCCUUGAUCUUAGUUGCCAGCAUUCAGUUGGGCACUCUAAGGUGACUGCCGGUGACAAACCGGAGGAAGGUGGGGAUGACGUCAAAUCAUCAUGCCCCUUAUGACCUGGGCUACACACGUGCUACAAUGGACAGAACAAAGGGCAGCGAAACCGCGAGGUUAAGCCAAUCCCACAAAUCUGUUCUCAGUUCGGAUCGCAGUCUGCAACUCGACUGCGUGAAGCUGGAAUCGCUAGUAAUCGCGGAUCAGCAUGCCGCGGUGAAUACGUUCCCGGGCCUUGUACACACCGCCCGUCACACCACGAGAGUUUGUAACACCCGAAGUCGGUGAGGUAACCUUUAUGGAGCCAGCCGCCGAAG